GGCUAAGCUACGAAGGGCGUAUGGUGAAUGCCUAGGCAGUCAGAGGCGAAGAAGGACGUGGACAGCUGCGAUAAGC
rnacentral:rRNA from 1 species